AGCUCGCUGGAUGACUGGCCUAGGCCUCCAGAUGAGGGAAAGGGGAAGAGAGGACGAGAGACGAGUCCUGGCACUGGUAUUCCUGGCAGAGACCCCAACCCCCAGGAGGGGCAUGUAGGGGUGAGGCUACACAAUGCCCAGAGAGGAUUCAUUAUGAGAAAAAUAUCACAGCUUUAAUAACUUACUUUGGAAAAACUAAUGAGAAAGCACAUUGGAAGCUUUCAGGUAAAGUCCAGCACUUCAUUCAUACAAAGUCUAUGAGAAGAGGUCAGCAGAGAUCAUCUAAUCUUAAGUCAAGACAUCAUCCAUUCAAGUCUUCGGCAC